AGCUCACCUGGCCCGAAGGGCCAAGUGAGCUUUUCUCAUCACUUGGCGUCCGUCGUCCGUCGUCCGUCGUCGUCCGUCGUCGGCGUUAACUUUUUACAUUUUGAACUUCUUCUAGAGAACCACUGAAUGGAAUGAAACCAAACAUGGCAUGAAUGUUCCUUAUGAGGUGCUCACCAAGUGUUGUUACUUUGUAGCCGAUCCAUCAUCCAAGAUGGCCGCCAGCGGGGGACUUAGUUUAACAUAGGACCCUAUGGGAAAUGCAUACAAAUGACUUCUUUUAGAGAACCACUGAAUGGAAUAAAACCAAACAUGGCAUGAAUGUUCCUUAUGAGGUGCUGACCAUGUGUUGUUACUUUGUAGCCGAUCCAUCAUCCAAGAUGGCCGCCAUCGGGGAACUUAGUUUAACAUAGGACCCUAUGGGAAAUACAUACAAAUGUCUUCUUUUAGAGAACCACUGAAUGGAAUGAAACCAAACAUGGCAUGAAUGUUCCUUAUGAGGUGCUGACCAUGUGUUGUUACUUUGUAGCCGAUCCAUCAUCCAAGAUGGCCGCCAUCGGGGUUCUUAGUUUAACAUAGGACCCUAUGGGAAAUACAUACAAUUGUCUUCUUUUAGAGAACCACUGAAUGGAAUGAAACCAAACAUGGCAUGAAUGUUCCUUAUGAGGUGCUGACCAAGUGUUGUUACUUUGUAGCCGAUCCAUCAUCCAAGAUGGCCGCCAGCGGGGGACUUAGUUUAACAUAGGACCCUAUGGGAAAUACAUACAAAUGUCUUCUUUUAGAGAACCACUGAAUGGAAUGGAACCAAACAUGGCAUGAAUGUUCCUUAUGAGUUGCUGACCAAGUGUUGUUACUUUGCAGUCGGUCCAUCAUCCAAGAUGGCCGCCAGCGGGGGACUUAGUUUAACAUUGGACCUAUGGGAAAUACAUACAAAUGUCUUCUUUUAGAGAACCACUGAAUGGAAUGAAACCAAACAUGGCAUGAAUGUUCCUUAUGAGGUGCUCACCAAGUGUUGUUACUUUGUAGCUGAUCCAUCAUCCAAGAUGGCCGCCAGCAGGGGACUUAGUUUAACAUAGGACCCUAUGGGAAAUGCAUACAAAUGACUUCUUUUAGAGAACCACUGAAUGGAAUAAAACCAAACAUGGCAUGAAUGUUCCUUAUGAGGUGCUGACCAUGUGUUGUUACUUUGUAGCCGAUCCAUCAUCCAAGAUGGCCGCCAUCGGGGUUCUUAGUUUAACAUAGGACCCUAUGGGAAAUACAUACAAUUGUCUUCUUUUAGAGAACCACUGAAUGGAAUGAAACCAAACAUGGCAUGAAUGUUCCUUAUGAGGUGCUGACCAAGUGUUGUUACUUUGUAGCCGAUCCAUCAUCCAAGAUGGCCGCCAGCGGGGGACUUAGUUUAACAUAGGACCCUAUGGGAAAUACAUACAAAUGUCUUCUUUUAGAGAACCACUGAAUGGAAUGGAACCAAACAUGGCAUGAAUGUUCCUUAUGAGUUGCUGACCAAGUGUUGUUACUUUGCAGUCGGUCCAUCAUCCAAGAUGGCCGCCAGCGGGGGACUUAGUUUAACAUUGGACCUAUGGGAAAUACAUACAAAUGUCUUCUUUUAGAGAACCACUGAAUGGAAUGAAACCAAACAUGGCAUGAAUCUACCUUAUGAGAUGCUGACCAAGUGUUGUUACUUUGUAGCCGAUCCAUCAUCCAAGAUGGCCGCCAGCGGGGGACUUAGUUUUACAUAGGACCCUUUGGGAAAUACAUAAAAAUGUCUUCUUUUAGAGAACGAAUAAAUGGAAUGGAACCAAACAUGGCAUGAAUGUUCCUUAUGAGAUGUUGACUAAGUGUUAUAAUUUUGCAGCCGAUCCAUCAUCCAAGAUGGCAGACA